GGCCCCUGACCGGGGUUGCGGACAGUGUCUGGUGGGUAGUUUGACUGGGGCGGUCUCCUCCCAAAGCGUAACGGAGGAGCACGAAGGUUAGCUAAUCCUGGUCGGACAUCAGGAGGUUAGUGCAAUGGCAUAAGCUAGCUUGACUGCGAGCGUGACGGCGCGAGCAGGUGCGAAAGCAGGUCAUAGUGAUCCGGUGGUUCUGAAUGGAAGGGCCAUCGCUCAACGGAUAAAAGGUACUCCGGGGAUAACAGGCUGAUACCGCCCAAGAGUUCAUAUCGACGGCGGUGUUUGGCACCUCGAUGUCGGCUCAUCACAUCCUGGGGCUGAAGUAGGUCCCAAGGGUAUGGCUGUUCGCCAUUUAAAGUGGUACGCGAGCUGGGUUUAGAACGUCGUGAGACAGUUCGGUCCCUAUCUGCCGUGGGCGCUGGAGAAUUGAGGGGGGCUGCUCCUAGUACGAGAGGACCGGAGUGGACGCAUCACUGGUGUUCGGGUUGUCAUGCCAAUGGCACUGCCCGGUAGCUAAAUGCGGAAGAGAUAAGUGCUGAAAGCAUCUAAGCACGAAACUUGCCCCGAGAUGAGUUCUCCCUGAGACUUUAAGUCUCCUGAAGGAACGUUAAAGACGAUGACGUUGAUAGGCCGGGUGUGUAAGCGCAGCGAUGCGUUGAGCUAACCGGUACUAAUGAACCGUGAGGCUUAACCUU
rnacentral:rRNA from 1 species